rnacentral:rRNA from 1 species
UACGUAGGGGGCAAGCGUUGUCCGGAAUUAUUGGGCGUAAAGAGCGUGUAGGCGGCCAGUUAAGUCCGCUGUGAAAUCUCGAGGCUCAACUUCGAGCUGUCGGUGGAAACUAUCUGGCUAGAGUCCGGAAGAGGAGAAUGGAAUUCCUGGUGUAGCGGUGAAAUGCGCAGAUAUCAGGAAGAACACCCGUGGCGAAGGCGGUUCUCUGGGACGGUACUGACGCUGAGACGCGAAAGCGUGGGGAGCGAACAGG